GUAACACUUUUGCUUGAUACAGACAUCUUUACAAAAAAAAAUAUAUAUAAAUAGAGCUAAGAAAUCCACAGCUCCGCACCUCAGUUCUUGCAGUUUCUGAACCUCGUCAAAGCCAAGUCCAGACACCAGCCAGCAUUAUUACCAGUUUCAUACCUCAGAACUCGGUCACAAGAAACAACCCUUGAGGAGAUAUUAUCAGCUCGGCAUCGUUACAUUAGUUAAAAUUCCCCAGAAGAGAAAGCUUGAUCCGUGAUAACCAAGAAACCCAUGGAAACGCAACACAGGAGAGGAAGAUCUGUCUGAAACGUAAGAGCAUCUAGCCGCAUUUACCAGAGGAAGAUCUUAAAGACAUUUCUUCCAUUGAAUCACCAUUGCCGCAUCUUCCUCUUCAUGAUCUUCUGCUAAAAAGAAACGAAGACGAUUCAGACAUCUCUCAUCUUCUUCUUCGGGGCUGAAAUACCAGAGGAGAGAAUCAACAGAGCUCCGGCCAUUUGGUGCAGACGAGAUGUUCGCACGACCAGAAACCGCAAGAAAAAACCUUUAUGGUCCUGAAGACUCUGUCUUCCGCCGCCGCCGCAAGAGGCGGAGAAACCGGUGGCUGCGGCGGGCGAUUGUUCUCGCAGCUGGUGAAUUUACCUUCUUACCCCUCUCCGGACGUCUGGAUUAUUUUGUCAUUUCAGACCCCUCGUAUUGCAUAAUUCAAUUUCAGUCUCACUCCCCAUUCGGUUUUCUGUCCAGUCUCCCAGUCUCACGAUGGUGCUUAAUUCGACCACAAUGUCCGACGCCGCGAAGCCGUCGCAAGAGGCGGAGGUAGGUGACAGAGCCGAAAUGGCGGACGGUUCGUCGGCGGCGAACAACUUGGCCAGCUUGAAGUGGAACAAGUCCGCUCACCGUCUUCCCAGACGCCCCGCGAAAUCUCCGGCCGCCGCCGAAACAGGCGGAGCAUUGGCUGAUAAGAAGGCCGGUAAGGCUGUUGCUGUUGAUGUUGAGGAAGCAGACGGUGAGGAAGUGACGUCGACGAUGUCGAAUCUGAGGCCGAUGAAGAGGGGGCGUCUCACUCGUUCGGAGAGGACUCGGACGAGGACGAGCGUUGACGCCAAAAUUGCUGCGGAGACUAAGGAGAGGAUGAGGUUCUCUCUCUCCCUCUCCAAGGAGGAGAUCGAAGAGGAUUUCUUGUUGAUGACUGGCGCCAAACCUACCAGGAGGCCCACCAGAAGGAACAAGAAAAUCCAAAAGGAUGUCGACAAUCUUUGUCCCGGUUCGUGGAUGGAGGCCCCUCUUCCGGACAUGUACAAGACAAGACUUCUGACAAAACCCAAUAAGGAUUAGGUCGAAUGUGUAUGGGAACGUCAGACAUCGAUUCUUUUUGAGAUCCUCCCCUCCACAGCUGAAGGUUGAAGCCAACCCGGAUGCUUCCUCACUGCCACACUGAGAUCUGAGCUGUGUUGGAGCUCUGUUAACAUGUCAUGAUGAAUACCCAUAGAAUGCAAGGUCAGAACGCAAAUGGGACAUGGUUAAGCCUUAUCCAAUUGGUCAAUGAACAAAAUCGGUCUGUGAAUGGCUUUAGUACUUCAUGGAUUCAUCUGCUUUCGUAAUCACCAAGUUUUUGCCCUUGUUCGGCUGAGAUAUCUCUAGGUGAUCAACAGGUCUGAGUUUAUUACAUGCACGAAGAAGAAUAUACUCAUUUUGCAAAAGAAACACUCCUUGCGUUAUAUGUUUCAGGCCUGAAACUGAUUUGCCCUUACCAGUUACUUCAACAGCUAUGAGGGUCUUUGUGAUGGAAGAAAAGUUUUUGCCUCUGCAGAAAUGGUGGCCAUGGAUUCGGAAGUGAGCAUUGGAUAACCAUUUUCUAUAACGGAGACUGGGUUCCAAGUCACUGGUUCUUGAGAAGAACUGGCUUUUCUUGGGUAGCAAUGCUUACAUUUGCUACAUAAGGAAGCACUAGAGUACGUGCAUAUGUUACGGAUCAGCAGCAGCACCGACAGCUUUGCUUGAAUCUGAAACAGAGCAUAUCUGGAUUAUUAUGCCGAUGAAUCAACUUUGUCACCAAAAAUAUGCGGCACAAACGUGCAUUUCCUGCCUCAGCACUCCAUAAGUUACAAAAAAAAGGCAAGAAAAGAAAUGAGCCAACAUCUUCACUGGGAAGGGGUGUGGUACCUUGGACGCAAAAUAUGAUUCGUUCCCUAAAAAAGGAAUCGGGUUAUCAAGAUGUUUCUCUACACGGGUUUAGGUGGGCAAAAUACGAUUCCAGCGUCACUCAGGCAAUGUAAUCUCCACCAACAGAGAUGGAGCACUUGCGAUGGGAAUGGGAAAUCAGGUACGCCCUAUAGGGAUUUAUAUUAGUUUAUAGGGAGACAAGUUCUACAUAUAAGAUGA